rnacentral:lncRNA from 1 species
CAGCUCUGGCUGUACCAAGGGGUGGUGGAGCCCUGGAGCCCCCCCGGAGGCACCCCGGAAGCCGAGGAACAGCCCAGUGCCGUGGAAGAGGUGGGGCCCCCCCCGGGCAAAGAGCCCCCCCCGGGGACCCCCCCGUCUGCCCCCCCUUCGGCCCCCCCCAGCGGCCCCUCGCCCGCCUCCAGCUUUGAGUACACGCUGUUUGACCCCGGCUCGGCCCUGCUCUGCCCCAGGGGGCACCCCCAAAUCGCCCCCCCCCACGAUCCCCCCGGCGGCCCCUACGCCAACCUGGCCCCCCCCCACAAAGGGCCCCCCCCGCCCGAGGAGGGGACCCCCAAAGAAACCCCCCACGACAGGAGACCCCCACGGGAGCUUCCGUGCAAUGGGAACCCCCCCGGGACCCUCCUGGCGUUGGGGCCCCCCCAAUGCCCCCCCCCUACGUGCUGUGCUCUUAAUGGAUGGGGGGGGGAGGGGGGGGCGGAGGGGGGGGUUGGGGACACCCCCCGGGAUGGGGUGACACCGAAUGGAGGGGACACGGCGACGUGAGGUCACGUGGGCUCACCACGACACGGGGACGUGUCACACCACGGCACGAGGAUGGAGGGGACGCGUCAUAGUGACGUCACGUGGGCUCACCAUGACACGAGGAUGGAGGGGACGCGUCAUAGUGACGUCACGUGGGCUCACCAUGACACGAGGAUGGAGGUGACACACUGUAGUGAUGUCACAUGGACUCAUAGUGACAUCACAUGGACUUACCAUGACACGAGGACGUGUCACACUGUGACACAUUGAUGGAGGGGACACAUCAUAGUGAUGUCACAUGGACUCACCAUGACACAAGGAUGGAGAGGACACGUCAUAGUGACGUCACAUGGGCUCACCAUGACACGAGGAUGGAGGGGACACGUCAUAGUGACGUCACGUGGGCUCACCAUGACAUGAGUACAGAUGGGACACAUCAUAGUGACGUCACGUAGACUCACCACGACACGGGGACGGAGGUGACACACUGUAGUGAUGUCACAUGGACUCAUAGUGACAUCACGUGGACUCACCAUGACACAAGGAUGGAGGGGACGCGUCAUAGUGACGUCACAUGGGCUCACCAUGACAUGAGGAUGGAGGGGACACGUCACAGUGAUGUCACGUGGACUCACCAUGACAUGAGGACGGAGGUGACACACUGUAGUGAUGUCACGUGGACUCAUAGUGACAUCACAUGGACUCACCACAACACGAGGACGUGUCACACUGACACAUGGACGGAGGGGACUCACCACGACACGAGGAUGGAGGGGACACGUCAUAGUGAUGUCACGUGGACUCAUGGUGACAUCACGUGGACUCACCAUGACACGAGGACGUGUCACACUGACACAUGGAUGGAGGGGACACACUGUAGUGACGUCACGUGGACUCACCAUGACACGAGGAUGGAGGUGACACACUAUAGUGAUGUCACAUGGACUCACAGUGACAUCACGUGGACUCACCAUGACACGAGGAUGAUGGGGACACAUCGUAGUGAUGUCACGUGGACUCACCAUGACAGGAGGACGUGUCACACCAUGACACAUGGACGGAGGGGACUCACCACGACACGAGGAUGGAGGUGACGCGUCAUAGUGACGUCACGUGGACUCACCACGACACAAGGAUGGAGGGGACACACUGUAGUGAUGUCACAUGGACUCACAGUGACAUCAUGUGGACUCACCAUGACACGAGGAUGAGGGGGACACAUCGUAGUGAUGUCACGUGGACUCACCAUGACACGAGGACGUGUCACACCACGACACGAGGAUGAAGGUGACACACUGUAGUGAUGUCACGUGGACUCAUAGUGACAUCACGUGGACUCACCACGACACGAGGACGUGUCACACUGUGACACAUGGAUGGAGGUGACGUGUCAUAGUGAUGUCACGUGGACUCACCACAACACGAGGACGUGUCACACUGUGACACAUGGACGGAGGGGACUCACCACGACACGAGGAUGGAGGUGACGCGUCAUAGUGACGUCACGUGGACUCACCACGACACGGGGACGGAGGGGACACGUCGCAGUGACGUCACGUGGGGACACAGCGGGGUUGUGGGGGUGGUCCCGUCCCACCCCCCACCCCCCCCCAAUGUCCGAACGCCGAAUUGGGGCCACUCGUGUUGGUUUGCCACUGUUUUAUACAAUAAAGCACUCGUGAGCGCA